CAGGCAAAGCCGCAGACCCACCGCCUGCCCUCAGGGCGCUUACAGCCAGCUACCCAGACGAACCCCAGCCCCGAGCGUCCCCUGCCUCCUGUCCCCUCCUGAGUGGUGCCUCUGACCCCGCGGGAGCCUCGUCCAGGUGCCAAGAGCUCAGGAGACUGCAGGCGGCGGAAGCGGCCUGGGCUCCCAGGGGCCUGGGGCUGCUGCCGGGUCCGCGCGCACCCACCUGCCCGCCCACGCGCCCACCCAGCGGGCCGGAGCCACCGCCCGGGGACGCCCCCUACUCACCCUCUUCCGUCCCCUCCCUUCCCGGCCACCUCCCGAGGGACCUGCCGCUCCACCCCCCGUCUGUUGCAGGUGCCUCGCUAGAAGGGUCCCUGCCCUCCGCCGCGCCGCGUCCCGGGGCUGGAAGUCCCUCUCCCCGGGGGCGGAGUUCCCGGCGGGGGCCGCGGAUGGGGAGGCCCCAGUUGGGCGCACGUGGAUGAAUUUCUGGGAGGAAACCAUGUACCAUCCGCUGUCGCUCGCUGCCAUCCAGUGUUUUCUCCCCCCAAAGUCCACAUCGCCGUCUGAUUGCAUUUUAAACCCCUGGAAGCAGAGACCCCAGUUCCCUGGGAUCCUCAGGGAAAUCGAACCCAGGAAGCCCCCAGUGGGAGGGGCAGCCAGGUCAGCCUUGUUGAGGAGAAGAAGGCGCCCACAGAGCUGACUCUGGAGCUUCACAGGUACCAUCAGAUGGAGAAGAUAAAGCCCUGUGGACAUCAGAGAAGGAAAAGACCAUUUCCAGAUGUGGAGAACGCAGGGAGAAAUCCUCUUCAAUUCUACUCACCUUUAACACACCCACUUGGAGGAUUAGCUUAAAUGCCAUGCCCCAAAGCAAAGCUACUAUGAUCCCCAAAUGUGUCUGAAUUCAUUCUCCUAAGGAACCACACCAGUUUGCGUGGAUCCACCUUAUGACACUUUGUGGGUUCUGUAUGGGAGCUUUGGAUCUUUACAUCUGCACGCAGCUUUGCUUCCUGUCUGUAGUUGUGUAAAUUCUUCCCAAAGAGAGCCUAGGGUCUACCUACUUUUGUAUUCCUUCCUCCACAACAUCCCUCCCACCACACCUGGCUUCAUACCUGGUACUUAGUAGGUGUUCAAUUAAUGAUUGUUGAAGGAAAGAAAGGAGGAGGGA
rnacentral:lncRNA from 1 species